rnacentral:rRNA from 1 species
GAUGAACGCUGGCGGCGUGCUUAACACAUGCAAGUCGAACGGUGAACGAGGGAGCUUGCUCCCUCCGGAUCAGUGGCGAACGGGUGAGUAACACGUGAGCAAUCUGCCCUGGACUCUGGGAUAAGCGUUGGAAACGACGUCUAAUACCGGAUACGAGACGCGAAGGCAUCUUCAGCGUCUGGAAAGAACUUCGGUCCAGGAUGAGCUCGCGGCCUCUCAGGUAGUUGGUGAGGUAAUGGCUCACCAAGCCUACGACGGGUAGCCGGCCUGAGAGGGUGACCGGCCACACUGGGACUGAGACACGGCCCAGACUCCUACGGGAGGCAGCAGUGGGGAAUAUUGCACAAUGGGCGCAAGCCUGAUGCAGCAACGCCGCGUGAGGGACGACGGCCUUCGGGUUGUAAACCUCUUUUAGCAGGGAAGAAGCGAAAGUGACGGUACCUGCAGAAAAAGCACCGGCUAACUACGUGCCAGCCGCCGCGGUAAAAC